UACGUAAGGUGCGAGCGUUAAUCGGAAUUACUGGGCGUAAAGCGUGCGCAGGCGGCGCGUUAAGACAGGUGUGAAAGCCCCGAGCUUAACUUGGGAAUUGCGCUUGUGACUGGCGUGCUAGAGUGUGGCAGAGGGAGGUGGAAUUCCACGUGUAGCAGUGAAAUGCGUAGAGAUGUGGAGGAACACCGAUGGCGAAGGCAGCCUCCUGGGCCAGCACUGACGCUCAUGCACGAAAGCGUGGGGAGCAAACAGG
rnacentral:rRNA from 1 species